rnacentral:lncRNA from 1 species
GGUUUUGCUAUGUUGGCCAGGCUGGUCUCAAACUCCUGACCUCAAGUGAUCCGACAGCCUCAGCCUCCCAAAGUGCUGGGAUUACAGGAAGGAGCCACCGCGCCAGCCUGAAGAAGAGGUUUAAAAAGAAAAAACCAAAAACAAAAAAACUACCAAGUAGCUACCUUAGUCUUUUUUGGAAAAAGACCAAACUUUAAACAUUUAAUAAUAAACAAAUGUAACAAUGAAUCCCCAGAAAUCUGAAAAGGUGCUGACACAAGCAUCCGUCUGUCUGAGUCACAGAAAAGGGCAGAGGGCACGAGGUGCCUGGAGGGCCUGAGGGCAGAGCUCAGCCGCAACCCGGCCCUGCUGCUUAGAGGCUCGGGGCCUUGGCAAAUGACAGCCUCCCUGAGCCUGUUUCUCCAUCCGUAAAACAGGCCUCCCAGCCCUGUGUCGGAGCAACUGAAACGAGGGUUAAAUGAGGAAACCAUGCGACAGAUGUCAGCAUAAUCCCUGCCACGCAGAGGAGGCAAAAUCACUUUGAAGGGUUAAAACUUGUUUCUCUGGUUAAAAAGGGAUGUACUCUUCAAAGUUAGAAAAAUACCUUGGCCCUCUCCCUCCCCCUCCCCCUCCCCCUCCCCCUCUCCCUCUCCCUCACCCCACAGUCUCCCUCUCAUGCGGAGCCGAAGCUGGACUGUACUGCUGCCAUCUCGGCUCACUGCAACCUCCCUGCCUGAUUCUCCUGCCUCAGUCUGCCGAAUGCCUGCGAUUGCAGGCACGCGCCGCCACGCCUGACUGGUUUUGGUGGAGACGGGGUUUCGCUGUGUUGGCCGGGCCGGUCUCCAGCCCCUAACCGCGAGUGAUCCGCCAACCUCGGCCUCCCGAGGUGCCGGGAUUGCAGACGGAGUCUCGUUCACUCAGUGCUCAAUGGUGCCCAGGCUGGAGUGCAGUGACGUGAUCUCGGCUCACUACAACCUACACCUCCCAGCCGCCUGCCUUGGCCUCCCAAAGUGCCGAGACUGCAGCCUCUGCCCGGCCGCCACCCCGUCUGGGAAGUGAGGAGUGUCUCUGCCUGGCCGCCCAUCGUCUGGGAUGUGAGGAGCCCCUCUGCCUGGCUGCCCAGUCUGGAAAGUGAGGAGCGUCUCCGCCCGGCCGCCAUCCCAUCUAGGAAGUGAGGAGCGCCUCUUCCCAGCCGCCAUCACAUCUAGGAAGUGAGGAGCGUCUCUGCCCGGCCGCCCAUAGUCUGAGAUGUGGGGAGCGCCUCUGCCCCGCCGCCCCAUCUGGGAUGUGAGGAGCGCCUCUGCCCGGCCGAGACCCCGUCUGGGAGGUGAGGAGCGUCUCUGCCCGGCCAGCCACCCCGUCCGGGAGGGAGAUGGGGGGGUCAGCCCCACCACCUGGCCAGCCGCCCCGUCCGGGAGGGAGGUGGGGGGGUCAGCCCCCCGCCUGGCCAGCCGCCCCAUCCGGGAGGGAGGUGGGGGGCGUCAGCCCUCCGCCCGGCCAGCCGCCCCAUCUGGGAUGUGAGGAGCGCCUCUGCCCGGCGAGACCCCGUCUGGGAGGUGAGGAGCGUCUCUGCCCGGCCGCCCCGUCUGAGAAGUGAGGAGACCCUCUGCCUGGCAACCACCCCGUCUGAGAAGUGAGGAGCCCCUCCGCCCGGCAGCUGCCCUGUCUGAGAAGGUUAAAUGGAUUAAGGGCGGUGCAGGAUGUGCUUUGUUAAACAGAUGCUUGAAGGCAGCAUGCUCGUUAAGAGUCAUCACCACUCCCUAAUCUCAAGUAAUCAGGGACACAAACACUGCGGAAGGCCGCAGGGUCCUCUGCCUAGGAAAACCAGAGACCUUUGUUCACUUGUUUAUCUGCUGACCUUCCCUCCACUAUUGUCCCAUGACCCUGCCAAAUCCCCCUCUGCGAGAAACACCCAAGAAUGAUCAAUAAAAAAAUAAAUUAAAAAAAAAAA